rnacentral:rRNA from 1 species
CAGCCGCCGCGGUAACACGUAGGUGGCAAGCGUUGUCCGGAAUUAUUGGGCGUAAAGGGCUCGCAGGCGGUUUCUUAAGUCUGAUGUGAAAGCCCCCGGCUCAACCGGGGAGGGUCAUUGGAAACUGGGAAACUUGAGUGCAGAAGAGGAGAGUGGAAUUCCACGUGUAGCGGUGAAAUGCGUAGAGAUGUGGAGGAACACCAGUGGCGAAGGCGACUCUCUGGUCUGUAACUGACGCUGAGGAACGAAAGCGUGGGGAGCGAACAGGAUUAGAUACCCCAGUAGUCCCUGUCUCUUAUAA